CCUCCACCAUCUAGGGAAGCUAGCUCACAUUUUCUGGGUAGGCUGAGGCACAUAUAAAAACAAACGUUUCUCAUCAACAUUCUAUUCUAAUCUCUAAAUUCUAAUUACAAAACAAUAUACGGACCAUAAUAUUGAAGAAACUAUACAAAGAACGAUAACUCUAUGAAAACUAACUGACCAUGGCAAUCUACAUUCUAACAUACGGUGCA
rnacentral:lncRNA from 1 species